CUGGUAUGUGGCCGCACAAACACUGGUGCUCAACAGCGUGUGGUUACACUGCACCAGGCCCUGAUAAUCCAUUUCCACACAGUGACUCCUACUAUCAAGAUCAGGCAUACUGGGUCCCCUUCACCGGACCGCCACCCCUGACAGUGCUGUUAUUGAGCCUAUUAUGAUGGCUCCAUCUUUUGUGAGUAUUAUUCCACAUGAUCAUUCUCCUUAUUUUGGAUAUACAAUAUUGCACUAUAUACUUUCUUUGUUUGAGAAGGUCGCCUAAACAGACCUACUGGCUAUUCAUCCUUUAGCUAGGUUCUUGGCUUAAAAGAAUGUGAGUGGCUCCAUAUACUCUUUGAACUUUAUACUGAUUUUUAGUUCUACACUGUUCGACUUUUUCAUCUUUUUAGGCUUUCAUCACAGAUACCAUUACCACUGUGCUAUACUGUUUUAAGGUACUUAACUUCCAUUUUUGUUUAUAUAAAGUGCUACACCAUAUUGGUUAUUUGUUACAUUGUUACAUAGCUGAAAAGAGAUCAAGUUCAGCCUUCCUCACAUUUGUUUUUUGCUGUUGAUCCAAAAGAAGGCAAAACCCCCCAGUUUGAUGCACAAUUUUCAACAAGCUAGGAAAAAAAAUCCUUCUUGACUCCAGAAUGGCAGUCAGAGUUAUCCUUGGAUCAAGCAGUUAUUACCCUACAUUGAAAGAUUAUAUCCUUGAAUAUUCUAUUUUUGCAAGUAUGCAUCUAGUAGCUGUUUGAACAUCUGUAUGGACUCUGAUAAAACCACUUCUUCAGGCAGAGAAUUCCACAUCCUGAUUGUUCUUACAGUAAAAAAAACCUUUCCUUUGCCUUAGACAAAAUCUUCUUUCUUCCAGUCUAAAGGCAUGGCCUCGUGUCCUAUGUAAAGUCCAGUUUGUGAAUAGAUUUCCACACAAUGGUUUGUAGUGGCCCCGAAUAUAUUUGUAUAAUGUUAUCAUAUCCCCUCUCAGGCGACGUUUUUCUAAGCUAAAUAGGUUUAACUUUGUUAACCUUUCUUCAUAGCUGAUAUGUUUCAUUCCUUUUAUUAAUUUUGUAGCCCGCCUCUGCACUUUUUCUAUUGCCAUAAUAUCCUUCUUUUGAACAGGUGCCCAAAAUUGCACAGCAUAUUCAAUAUGUGGUCUUACCAGUGAUUUAUAAAGAGGCAAAAUUAUAUUGUCGUCCCGAGAAUGAAUGCCCAUUUUAAUGAUUGACAAUACCUUACUGGCCUUGGCCACUGCGGAUUGACAUUGCACAUUGUUGCAUAGUUUGUUGUCUAUAACAAUUCCCAAAUCCUUUUCGUGUGUUGUUAUCCCUAACUCGCUUCCAUUAAGGGUAUACGUUGCUUGUGUAUUCUUUACGUCGAUGUGCAUAACUUUGCAUUUUUCAACAUUAAAUUUAAUCUGCCAUUUGAGUGCCCAGUCCCAGUCUUAAUUCCUCUGCAGCAAAGUAAUAUGUUGCUCACAUUGUAUUAUUUUACAAAGUUUUGUGUCAUCUGCAAACACUGAAACAUGACUUUCAAUGCUGUCUUCAUAGAAACAUAGAAUGUGACGGCAGAUAAGAACCAUUCGGCCCAUCUAGUCUGCCCAAUUUUCUAAAUACUUUCAUUAGUCCCUAGCUUUAUCUUAUAGUUAGGAUAGCCUUAUGCCUAUCCUACGCAUGCUUAAACUCCUUUACUGUGUUAACCUCUACCACUUCAGCUGGAAGGCUAUUCCAUGCAUCCACUACCCUCUCAGUAAAGUAAUACUUCCUGAUAUUAUUUUUAAACCUUUGUCCCUCUAAUUUAAGACUAUGUCCUCUUGUUGUGGUAGUUUUUCUUCUUUUUAAAUAUAGUCUCCUCCUUUACUGUGUUGAUUCCCUUUAUAUAUUUAAAUGUUUCUAUCAUAUCCCCCCCUGUCUCGUCUUUCCUCCAAACUAUACAUGUUAAGAUCCUUUAACCUUUCCUGGUAUGUUUUAUCCCGCAAUCCAUGAACCAGUUUAGUAGCCCUUCUCUGAACUCUCCCUAAGGUAUCAAUAUCCUUCUGAAGAUACGGUCUCCAGUACUGUGUACAAUACUCCAAGUGAGGUCUCACCAGUGUUCUGUACAAUGGCAUGAGCACUUCCCUCUUUCUACUGCUAAUGCCUCUCCCUAUACAACCAAGCAUUCUGCUGGCAUUUCCUGCUGCUCUAUUACAUUGUCUGCCUACCUUUAAGUCAUCAGAAAUAAUCACCCCUAAAUCCCUUUCCUCAUAUGUUGAGUUUAGGACUCUAUCAAAUAUUCUGUACUCUGCCCUUGGGUUUUUACGUCCAAGAUGCAUUAUCUUGCACUUAUCCACAUUAAAUGUCAGUUGCCACAAUUCUGACCAUUUUUCUAGUUACCUAAAUCAUUUGCCAUUUGGCUUAUCCCUCCUGGAACAUCAACCCUGUUACAUAUCUUAGUAUCAUCAGCAAAAAGACAUACCUUACCAUCAAGACCUUUUGCAAUAUAACUAAUAAAAAUAUUAAAGAGAAUGGGUCCAAGUACAGAUCCCUGAGGUACCCCACUGGUGACAAGUCCAAGCUUCGAAUAUAUUCCAUUAACUACAACCCUCUGUUGCCUGUCACUCAGCCACUGCCUUACCCAUUCAACAAUAUUGGAAUCCAAACUUAAAAGAUUGCAGUUUAUUGAUAAGCCUUCUAUGUGCAACAGUGUCAAAAGCCUUACUGAAAUCUAGGUAAGCAAUGUCUACUGCACCACCCUGAUCUAUAAUUUUAGUUACCCAAUCAAAAAAUCAAUAAGAUUAGUUUGGCAUGAUCUCCCUGAAGUAAAUCCAUGUUGUCUCUGAUCUUGAAAUCCAUGUGUUUUAGAUGUUCAACAAUCCUAUCCUUUAACAUGGUUUCCAUCACUUUCCCCACUACUGAAGUAAGGCUUACUGGCCUAUAGUUGCCCGACUCCUCCCUAUUACCUUUCUUGUAAAUGGGCACAACAUUCGCCAACUUCCAAUCUUCUGGGACUACUCCUGUUAAUAAUGAUUGGUUAAAUAAAUCUGUUAAUGGUUUUGCUAGUACACCACUAAGCUCUUUUAAUAGCUUUGGGUGUAUUCCAUCAGGUCCCAUUGACUUAUUUGUCUUUACUUUUCACAGUUGAAAUAGAACCUCUUCCUCUGUAAACUCACGUGUAAUAAAUGACUUAUUUAUCCUUUUUCUCAACUGAGGUCCUUUUCCUUAAUUUUCAUCUGUAAAUACAGAACAAAAAUAUUAAUUGAGGCAGUCAGCUAGACCGUUAUCCUCUUCUACAUACCUUCCUUCUUUUGUUUUUAAUCUAACUAAUCCUUGUUUUACUUUUCUUUUCUCAUUUAUGUAUCUAAAAAAUGUUGUGUUCCCCUUUUUUACUGACUGUGCUAUUUUCUCUUUUGUGUGUGAUUUGGAAGCUCUUAUAACUUGCUUAGCCCCUUUCUGCCUAAUCUUAUAGAUCAUUUUGUCUUCCUCACUCUGGUUUUUUUUAUAAUUCCUAAAUGCUAACUUUUUGUUUUUAACUAUUUUGGCCACAUCUGCGGGGUACCACAGUGGUUUCUUGAAUUUUUUGCUUUUACUGACAAGCCUAAUGCAAUUUUCUGUUGCCUUUAAUAGUGCAACUUUUAAAUAAUCCCAUUUCUCUUGGACUCCAUUUAAAUUGCUCCAGUCUGAUAAUGACUCCUCUACACAUAUUCUAAUUUUAGAACAGUCUGUUUUUCUAAAGUCUAAAACUUUUGUUUUUGUGUGGUGUGACUCAGUCACUGUUCUUAUAUUAAACCACACUGACUGAUGAUCACUGGAUCCUAAACUUUCACCUACAGUAAUAUCUGAUACCAAAUCUCCAUUUGUUAACACUAAAUCUAGUAUGGCCUCUUUACGAGUUGGCUCUUCAACAACUUGUUUUAGAGACAAUCCCAGUAGUGAGUUUAGAAUAUGUGUGCUCCUGGCAUAAGUAGCUAAUUUUGUUUUCCAAUUUACAUCAGGAAGAUUAAAGUCACCCAUGAUGAUAACUUAGAUUAUCUAACUCUUCAAUUUGUCCUGGGGGCCUAUAAAUCACACCUAUACGAGUUACUGUGUGAUUACCAAAUUCUAACGUAACCCAAACGGACUCUAUGUUUGUCUCACUGACUUUUAUUAGGCUAGAUUUUAUGCUAUCCUUCACAUACAGGGCCACCCCUCCCCCUUUCUUGCCUUCCCUAUCUUUUCUAUAUAAAGAGUACCCUGGUAUUGCUAUGUCCCAGUCGUUUUUCUCAUUAUACCAUGUCUCAGUAGCAGCGACUAAAUCUACAUUAUCAGUUGCCAUUAUUGCCACAAGUUCAUGGAUCUUUUUCCCUAAACUGCGAGCAUUUGUAGACAUGACUCUAAGCUUAUCAUUUUUUAACACACUUGCUACAGGCACCUUCUGUCCUGUGGAUUGAUGUUUUAUCACCCUUUUGCCUCCCCCCCUCCUAGUUUAAAUACAUCCUAGCAAAACCUCUGAACUGCUCACUGAGAACAUUUGUUCCCUUUUGAGAAAGAUGCAAACCAUCUUUUUUGUACAGCUUAUUUCCAUUCCAAACAGAGCUACCAGGAGAAAUAAAGCCAAAUCCUUGCUCCCGACACCAUUCACCAAGCCACAAAUUAAAGUCCCUAAUACGCAUCUGCCUGUCGUUCUGAGUGUUAUGCACAGGCAGAACUUCAGAGAAUGACAGUGUGGAAACAACCUGCCGUAUAUCCUUGGCAAAAACACUAAAAACUUACUUAAACUCUGAAACCUCAUUGCAAGCCAAGUCAUUUGUCCCUAGAUGGACAAGUACAUCAAAUUCCCCUUCCUGCUUUGCUUGCUUAACAAUAUCACAGCUACGUCUCCUGUCUCUGUGAGCAGUAGCUCCGGGAAGACACCUCACAAGACCACAAUUGUCCAUCUCCACACCUCUUAUGAUUGAAUCCCCCAACAACAACUGCUUUCUAUUAGGCCUCACCAUAGUCUCCAAGCCGGUCUCCACAAAACCACUAGCCUCAGUGCCUCUCUCCACAACACCACUAGCCUCAGUGCCUCUCUCCACAACACCACUAGGCUUAGUGCUUCUCUCCACAACACCAUUACACUCUGAAAGUGCAGGAAAUGAAUUAUGUAGAGCAACAGACUGUGCAAAAUGCCUUUUAUCCACAACUCUAAGUCUACCAGAUCCUACAGUAAUCCAUCUGCCAUUCCUAGUAUGUCUCUGCGGCAGUGGCUUUGCAGCAGUUCCAGUCUGAGUUUGUUCACCAGAUAAUUUACAAAUCUCAGACUUGAAAAAUACAAUCUCCUGCCGCAAUAUAGAGAACUGUCUACAGAUUAGAUAACAACCAAAUCUCCAAAAAGUAGAACGUGAAACAAAUGCAUAUCAACUAUUACACUGAACUAAGUCUGCCAUUCCAAUGAGGAAAAUAAUUUAACUCAAACUAAUCUUAACUUUUUUCUUUAUCCUCCUGAAUACCUCAGAUUACCUCCAGUUUAUCUCCAGAAUAUCUCCAACUACACACUUAGAAGCAACACUCUCCAGAAUAUCUACAACUACACACUUAGAAGCAACAAUCUCCAGAAUAUCUCCAACUACACACUUAGAAGCAACACUUAGGUGAAGCAACCAAGCUAUAUUAGCCAAGCUAAUGACAACAAGCCUUAUAUAACUCCUAAAAUCACCACCCACUAGGAAUGUUUAACACCCGGGUAGGCCUCUGCUUAUUUGCAAACAAUAGCUAAUUAACCAGCAAUCAAUAGCAAGUAACUAGCUUAAUCAAAUCAAAUGCCUUAUAAUUAUCAACAGGAAUUCAAAUCUUGUGCAAUCAGUAACCUUUUCCUACAGAUGAAUCUUACCUGUAACAGUAGAAAAGAAAGCUCUUAGCACAACUCUUAGACAGUUGAAGCUUCUGUAAAACUCUCCAGAAUAUCUCCAACUACACACUUAGAAGCAACACUUAGAUGAAGCAACCAAGCUAUAUUAGCCAAGCUAAUGACAACAAGCCUUAUAUAACUCCUAAAAUCACCACCCACUAGGAAUGUUUAACACCUGGGUAGGCCUCUGCUUAUUUGCAAACAAUAGCUAAUUAACCAGCAAUCAAUAGCAAGUAACUAGCUUAAUCAAAUCAAAUGCCUUAUAAUUACCAACAGGAAUUCAAACCUUGUGCAAUCAGUAACCUUUUCCUACAGAUGAAUCUUACCUGUAACAGUAGAAAAGAAAGCUCUUAGCACAACUCUUAGACUGGUGAAGCUUCUGUAAAACUCUCCAGAAUAUCUCCAACUACACACUUAGAAGCAACACUUAGGUGAAGCAACCAAGCUAUAAGAUCUUCAAGAUCAUUUAUAAACAUGUUAAAUAGAAGGGGUCCCAGAACAGACCCUUGAGUGACACCACUUGCCACCUCUGUCCAGCUUGAAAAUUUACCAUUAAUGACAACUCUUUGUACUCUGUUUUUAAGCCAAUGUUCUACCCAAGAACAAGCAUUUUCAUCUAGACCGAUUUCCUUGAGUUUGAACACUAAUCUAUUGUGUGGAACUGUAUCAAAUGCCUUGGCAAAAUCCAAGUAGAUCACAUCCACUGCAAAACCCUGAUCAAUACUUCUACUUACUUCUUCGUAGAACGCAAUAAAAUUAGUGUUUGUAUAUUUGUUGUGUGGAUUUGGAGAGAUUACACUUGGUGUUUUAGCAGCAAAAUGAUCUAGUGAUUGCAGCAGUGGACUUAUUGAUGCCCGGGUGUCCAGCAGUUAUAUUGUCAUGGAACACUUUCAUGAUAUUAACCCUUUCACAUAGGGGAAUGAACAGUUUAUCACACGGUUUACCACUGGGCGCCUGAGGCUGGGCCUCCAGUAUGGUGCCAAGCAGUGGAGAAGACAGUGAGAGGACAGUAGUGGCAAUAAUACACUCUGGUGGAAUAAUAGGAGAUGUCACCUGUUCCGGAGCUGACUCAUUAUCAAAUUGCCUGGACAAGGUAUCAGCCUUGGUAUUUUUAGAACCAGGUCUAUAAGUAAUGAGAAAGUUAAAAUGUGAAAGGAACAGUGACCAUCUAGCCUGUCUGGAAGACAAACGUUUGGCAUCCCCUAUAUAUGCCAGAUUUUUGUGGUCGGUUAUGAUCAACAGGGGGUCCUUGGAACCCUCCAAAAGAUGUCGCCACUCCUUGAGGGCAAAAAUAAUGGCCAACAGUUCUCUAUUGCCAAUAUCGUAGUUGCGCUCAGCAGGAGACAUCUUUCUGGAGAAGUAGCCACAAGGAUGCAAUGGUGUUACCUGGCUUUCUCUCUGAGAGAGAACAGACCCUACCCCUGUCUCGGAUGCAUCAACCUCCAAUAUAAAAGGUUUACUAGUGUCGGGAUGUUUUAGUAUGUCCGCAGAGGCAAAUCUUUGUUUAAGAGUCUCAAAAGCAUUCACAGCCUCUUUGGACCAUACCGUGCUACUAACCCCUUUGCGAGUCAUAUUUGUGAUUGGGGCUAUUACAGAAGAAAAUCCCUUGAUGAAUCUUCUGUAAUAGUUGGCAAAACCAAUAAACCUUUGAAUGGCUUUUAAACCAGAGGGUAAUGGCCAGUGUAGUACAGCCUCUAGUUUUUUAGGAUCCAUUUGAAAUCCCGAUGCAGAGAUGUUGUAACCCAAAAAGUGGACUUCAGGCUGGUCAAAUAUGCACUUUUCUAAUUUACAAUAAAGUUUAUUUUUCAACAACGUCUGCAGAACCUGUUUCACAUUGGAGUGGUGAGUCUGAAGAUCAGGGGAAUACACCAAAAUAUCGUCCAAAUAAACCAAGACAAAUGUGUAAAUGAAUUCCCUGAGUACAUCAUUUAUAAAGUCUUGGAAUACGGCCGGGGCGUUGCAUAACCCAAAUGGCAUUACCAGAUAUUCAUAGUGUCCACUACGGGUAUUAAAUGCCGUCUUCCACUCAUGAUUCUCUUUAAUUCUAACCAAAUUGUAAGCGCUCCUAAGGUCAAGCUUAGUAAAUACUUUAGCUCCCUGAAGUCUAUCGAACAAUUCGGAAAUGAGUGGGAUAGGGUAUGCAUUUUUUACAGUGAUUUUAUUAAGUGCCCUGUAGUUUAUGCAAGGGCGUAACUCACCACCCUUUUUCUCAACAAAAAAGAAUCCUGCACCAGCUGGUGAGGAUGACUUUCUUAUGUGCCCUUUGCUCAAGGAUUCUUUGAUGUAUUCCUCCAUUAUUUUACUCUCCUGGGGAGAUAAGGCAUAAACUGCCCCCUUAGGUGGCAUAGCGCCUGGAAACAGGUUAAUGGCACAGUCAUAUGCUCUGUGGGGAGGCAAUACAUCAGAUUGAGCCUUGUUAAACACCUCCUGAAGUUCUCGGUAUUGUAUGGGAACUCCAGGAGUUUGGGGAGUGGUAGUGGGAAGGUCAGUAGUAUCCAAUCUCUUUAGUACUGGUUUUAUACAUCUCCCCAUACACUCUUUACCCCAUUCUAAUAUCUCCCCAUUAGCCCAGUCAAUAUAGGGAUUGUGCUUACUCAGCCACGGAAACCCUAAUAUGAUAGGACAUGAUGGAGAAGUAAUAACCUGAAACGUCAUCUCCUCCCUAUGGGAGGCCCCAAUGGAGAUCGUAAUAGGGACAGUUUUGUGGGUUAUAAGCGGUUGUGUGAGUGGUCUACCAUCAAUAGCCUCUACAGCUAGCGGCGUAGGUCUCUCCCUGACCGGUAUCUCAUUACCCCUAAUAAACUGGACAUCAAUAAAAUUUCCAGCAGCACCUGAGUCCAUUAGGGCACUGCAAGAAAACUUCUUGUUAUCAAGGGAAAUAGAUACCUCAAGGAGGAAUCUACUUUUGUUUUUGUUAGAGGACAACUCCAUCACACCUAAGAUCUGUCCCCUUAAGGUUCUUAGGUGCGGAAGUUUUCCGGACGCACUGGACAAUUAGUUAUCAUAUGUCCCUUUCUACCGCAAUAUAGGCAUAACCCCUCCCUUCUCCUAUACUGUUUUUCGGCCUCUGACAGUCUAGUGACCCCCAACUGCAUAGGUUCGGGUUCGGACUGUACAGGGAGGUUAGACAAAACAGGUUUAGAGAAUUGAGGUGCUAGGGACAUAGCCGUACGUCUGGUCUUGCUUCUGGUGACUUCUCUGAGUCUUAACCUAUUAUCAAUAUGCAUGACAAACGUAAUAAAUUCGUUAAGACUCUUAGGUAAUUCUUUAGCGGCUAUCUCAUCUAGUAUAGUCUCUGAGAGACCCUUUUUGAAUGCUGAGAUUAACCCAUUGUUAGUCCAUUCUACCUCGGAAGCUAAGGUACGGAAUUCAAUAGCAUAAUCCGAGAUAGACCGGUUACCUUGUUUGAUGUGCAUUAGGGCAGUGGAGGCGUCAUCCUCUCUACCCAAUGGCUCAAACGUGAGCUUGAAUUCGGCAAGGAAUUCCUGGUAAUUAUGAGCUAUGCUCCGAUUACUCUCCCACAACGGAUUAGCCCAGGCAAGGGCCUUGCCCUUUAAUUGAUUCAUUAGAUAACCAAUUCUUGCUCUGUCCGUGGGGAAUGACCCUGGUGAGGCCUCAAAAUGGUACUCCACCUGAUUAAGAAAACCCCUGCAUUCCUGGAUAUUGCCAUCAAACUGUAGGGAUGGUGAUAAGGAGAUGCUAGGAGUCAUAUUAACAGUGGGUGGAGGUACACAGGGUAGAGGUGCUAUAGGAGGAGACGCUGCAGGCUGCAGAUGCUCCGUUCUAGCGAGAAGCGUACUUAAAGCCUGAGUGAAUUGAUCCAUGCGGUGAUCAUUCUCCUCUAAUUUCCUCUCGCAAGCAGCUAUGUGCUGACACAGUUCUACAGGAUCUAUGGCCCUGUCGUAAUGUCAGGAUUACUGUUUGAUCCAGCACGGAACUGACAACAAAUAAGUAACGUAUUACCGGUCCUUAGAAUGGCCGGAUUUAACGUACAAAGAAUAGUCAAAAAUACUAGCCGAGGUCAGGGAACACAGAAAGGGACACAGCGAUGAGGAAAGCCAGGAGUCAGGAUACCAGAAUAUAGAGAAGUCAAUAAACAAAGCCAAAGUCAAAAACCAGGUAGAAAACUAUAAACAGGAACGCGCUCUCAGACAACCACAAGGGAAACCACGACAGGGCACUGAGCAGGCUGAGAACUGGGCCUAAAUACCCCUCCUUUAGUUCUGAUAGGCUGUAACCGGCCUUUGACCCCAAAGUCAGUUACCAGGUUUCAUUUGCAUAAUUGCUGCUCAGCAUUAACCCUUCUGUGGUUUAGGUUGCUGCUCGGCACAACUUUUCCUGUGUGGACAGUAAAUGUCAUUAACCACUUUUCUAUAAGCGGAUGAAUACAUGAGACCAGGUUUCAUUUGCACAAUUACUGCUCAGCAUUAAACCUUCUGUGGAUUAGGUUGCUGCUCGGCACAACUUUUCCUGUGUGGACAGUAAAUGUCAUUAACCACAUUUCUAUAAGCGGAUGAAUACGUGACACACGCCCUUAAAGAAGCCACAUAAUCUAGGUGACCUCAUGCUGUUUUGGAUCACAAAGAUGACGUGGACAAAUGAGAAUUAAUGUGAACCUGUUUAACCCCUUAAGGACACAUGACAUGUGUAACAUGUCAUGAUUCCCUUUUAUUCCAGAAGUUUGGUCCUUAAGGGGUUAAAGCCUGUUCUGGCCCUUACUCAUUGCCCUAUUGUGGUUUCUGUCCUGAUAUACAUUAGUGCUCAUAAUAUGUCUCUCUUGUUAUAUCCUGAUAUUGACCUUGGCUUUUAUUUGACUUUGUGUUGAAGUCUGGCAUCCUGACCCGGCUUGUUUCUGACUUUGUGUAUUUCUGGUAUCCUGAACUAGCUUGUUAUUCCAUUUAUCCCUACCUUGGCUAUUCCUGACUCUGUCUUUUUCUGUAUUAACUCUAAGGCCCGGUUAUACAUCUAUCUAGUACCUUUGUUUGUGUGACUCGCUGUUCCUGUAACUUGGGGUAACCUGUGUGACAACAACAUCACGUACUAAGUGUUCUUCCAAGCCCAAAAAUUUUUAUGCACUUAAAAAAGUCAGGGGAUCAUUAUACACUUACCCUGCAAUAGUCGAAAACAAAUCAAACGGGACCACCUACAGACAUACACCUAUAUCCUACUGACAAUAACUGGUGCCCAGUAAAAAUACUAAAUCAAAUUUGUCUUUCACUCGCAGGUCGUCUUUGGAAUACAUCUCUGUUAAUGUUACACGGUAACCCACUCACUACAAAAUUCACAAAAUUCAUCCUGGACAUCCUGGACAUCAGGACACUAUUCAUAAG
rnacentral:lncRNA from 1 species